UACGUUAAGUGCAGCAAGAAAAGAUCAUGCAUGAGAUAUGCAAAAGGAAAGGCAGAACAGAAUUCUAUAAAUGCACAACUAAUUAGCUCAAGAAGCAAACAACCCUAGACCCUAAACGUCCAACAUCUAAAGGAUCAAAAUAACAAUUUGACUUAGAAGAUUACAUGAAGAUAAAAUUUGCUUCUCAAUUGGAGAAAUAGCCCCUAUUGCCUAAUUGGAGAACCUCAUGGCAUUUUCUUGCAUGCUCUAAAUGCUACACAAUUUCUGAAAGUUUCACGAGAAUACAUAUAUCAGACAGAAAUAAUGAAACACAGUGUUCAACAAAUUGAGCAAAUUUAUCAAGUAGUCAAAUAUACUUUUGUUACUUUACUCUUAUCGAUUGCGUGUUCCUCAACCAUACCCAGGUUAAAGAACCAUCUUUUUCUUUCUUUAUAUACUUUAUUUAGAGGGAAUAUGAACUUAAGACCUUCGCUUUCAAAACGUAGCAAUCAUAUCACAAAUAGUCUCAGUUGAUUACUCUUAAUAAAAAAGAAAUUAAAGUA
rnacentral:misc_RNA from 1 species